AGAGCGAACGCUGGCGGCAGGCUUAACACAUGCAAGUCGAGCGGACGUAGCAAUACGUCAGCGGCAGACGGGUGAGUAACGCGUGGGAACAUACCUUUUGGUUCGGAACAACACAGGGAAACUUGUGCUAAUACCGGAUAAGCCCUUACGGGGAAAGAUUUAUCGCCGAAAGAUUGGCCCGCGUCUGAUUAGCUAGUUGGUGAGGUAACGGCUCACCAAGGCGACGAUCAGUAGCUGGUCUGAGAGGAUGAUCAGCCACAUUGGGACUGAGACACGGCCCAAACUCCUACGGGAGGCAGCAGUGGGGAAUAUUGGACAAUGGGCGCAAGCCUGAUCCAGCCAUGCCGCGUGAGUGAUGAAGGCCCUAGGGUUGUAAAGCUCUUUUGUGCGGGAAGAUAAUGACGGUACCGCAAGAAUAAGCCCCGGCUAACUUCGUGCCAGCAGCCGC
rnacentral:rRNA from 1 species